rnacentral:rRNA from 1 species
UGCCAGACUCCUACGGGAGGCAGCAGUGGGGGAUAUUGCACAAUGGAGGAAACUCUGAUGCAGUGACACCGCGUAUAGGAAGAAGGUUUUCGGAUUGUAAACUAUUUUAGACAGGGAAGAAAAAAGACAGUACCUGUAGAAUAAGCCCCGGCUAACUACGUGCCAGCAGCCGCGGUAAUACGUAGGGGGCAAGCGUUAUCCGGAAUUACUGGGUGUAAAGGGUGAGUAGGCGGCAUGGUAAGCCAGAUGUGAAAGCCUUGGGCUUAACCCGAGGAUUGCAUUUGGAACUAUCAAGCUGGAGUACAGGAGAGGAAAGCGGAAUUCCUAGUGUAGCGGUGAAAUGCGUAGAUAUUAGGAAGAACACCAGUGGCGAAGGCGGCUUUCUGGACUGAAACUGACGCUGAGGCACGAAAGCGUGGGGAGCGAACAGGAUUAGAUACCCCGGUA